rnacentral:rRNA from 1 species
AUGGGUUCUAAUAAAUCUGCUCAAGUAAAUCAGUGUUGGCUCCUAAUGAAAUUCGGCCAAAGGGCAUGUCAAUCAAUAUCAAAUCUGUUGAAUACUAAGAUGGAUUUGGUCACUACUUGUAGAGAGAUAAGCAAAGCACUACCACUGCCCACUACUUGUAGAGAGAUAAGCAGAGCCAAUGGCAUCCUAGGAGGAGGAGGUGAACUUGGUGAUGGUAUAUGUGCCCUCAGAGACGGCGUGCUUGGCGAGCUCGCUAGGGAGGACAAGGCAGCAGCCAUGGCCGGGGGUGGAAGAAACCCAUCUGACAUGGGGAAAGGGGGAGAGGUGAGGCAAGGACUUACAGCGGGGUAA